GCCAGCAGCCGCGGUAAUACGAAGGGUGCAAGCGUUACUCGGAAUUACUGGGCGUAAAGCGUGCGUAGGUGGUCGUUUAAGUCCGUUGUGAAAGCCCUGGGCUCAACCUGGGAACUGCAGUGGAUACUGGACGACUAGAGUGUGGUAGAGGGUGGCGGAAUUCCUGGUGUAGCAGUGAAAUGCGUAGAGAUCAGGAGGAACAUCCAUGGCGAAGGCAGCUACCUGGACCAACACUGACACUGAGGCACGAAAGCGUGGGGAGCAAACAGGAUUAGAUACCCUGGUAGUCCACGCCGUAAACGAUGUCGACUUGGGGGUUGUGCCCUUGAGGCGUGGCUUCCGGAGCUAACGCGUUAAGUCGACCGCCUGGGGAGUACGGCCGCAAGGUUAAAACUCAAAUGAAUUGACGGGGGCCCGCACAAG
rnacentral:rRNA from 1 species